GCACUGCUGAGGAGUCCCAUAAUAGGACGAAGCGGCCGUACAGUGC
rfam:Schistosoma mattheei strain Denwood, Zambia genome assembly, scaffold: SMTD_scaffold0009090